rnacentral:lncRNA from 1 species
UUUAAAAUGAAAGAUACAGUCUAAUUCUCCCUUCUCUGUCUACUUUUUCAGCUUCCACCCCUAGUCCUUCAUGUUUGCUUCUCUAUGCAAGGUGAAGGCCAGAUACUCUGGCUUAGCUAAAAAGCCAUGUAGGAUAUCUGGUCUUUGAAAACCAUUUUUGAGGCAUCUGGGAAGAAUGAAGACCUAAAGUAUUUUACCAAAGUUUUGAAUAAUGCCAGGGAGAGCUACAAAAGUUAAAGGGAGAUGUGGGGAAAAGAAUUAAUACUCUGAAGAAUACUCUUUCCAGUUCUCUCAGAGGUUAAACUUGGAGAGAAACACUUGUAAUAUUUCAAUAUUAGUAGCAGUCUAUUGUAGCAUCAUGCUACAUGGGAAGAUUCUCUGGAGGGUCAUUCCUAGACUUGUGAAGUUAUCUUUUAAAGGUCAUCAUCUUUUCCAGCAACAUUGACGUGAUUUCAAAGGACCUGUGCAAG